rnacentral:lncRNA from 1 species
UGUCACAAGAUUGGGACGGGAGAAAAAAAUGAAAUUAACCUAUUCUGUCAGCUGCUAUAUAAGUAAAAUUAAAAGGUGUAUGAGCCACUCAUGUUAGUGUGACGCCUUAUGAUGGGUGUUAAUUUCGCGGGUGGUUUCAGCGUGGUGAACCUGGUCCUGAUUUUACAGGUCACUGGAAUUUCCGGCUACACGUAUGGGUCAGAAAGAAGUUCAUUCUCGCGAGACGCACAGCUUCUAGAUUUUGAUUCCGUGGCUCAAAAAGUUUCUCAUGUCAUUUGGAAGGAUGCUGCGGCCUGCCCUAUUUCAGCGGCUUUCGCUCAAAUCAGCCGUCUAAAUAACAGAGAAUCAGUUGAAAAUGCCUUGAGGAAAGCUCUGAGUACUGACCCAUCCGUCAUAGUCAAAAGUAAAACAGACGGUAUAAGAGAUGUGAUUUGUGAGGCUGCCAAACAGUUCUCGGAGCAGGUUGAGUCCCUUAAGAAGAAUACCGUAGUAACGGACGAUGACCCGUGGGUUAACGACAAAAAUUUCGAAGACGCAUUAAACAAUCUGAAGAAAGACAAGUCUCAGGUGAAUUUCAGAGAAGUCGCCGGGGGCGUGAACACGAGGAACAGUGGCUAUCGCCUCGGCGACUUGAAGCGGACGGCAUACAACAAACUCUCCGCUGUUCGCAACGCCUUCCGCCGCGAAAUCUACCAAAUCCAUCACAGCGCUGACUCCGCCGUGAACGUCCUGCGCGAAGGCACCCGCGCUAUGCAAACCAUCAAACGCGCGCUGGCCGUCGGUCAGAAAUUGGGCUGCUUCGGAGGGACCAUGAGAGAGAAACAAAAUCCUGCGGAAUCAACCCUGUUCGAGGAGGACCUCGGCGUCGUUAUCGGCCCAUCCGAACCUGUGUCCAGUCCGAAUUCAAGAAAUCCUGCGAAAUCAACCCUGUCUGAGGAGGACCUCGGCGUCGUUAUAGGUCCAUCCGAACCUGUGUCCAGUCCGAAUUCAAGAAAUCCUGCGAAAUCAACCCUGUCUGAGGAGGACCUCGGCGUCGUUAUAGGUCCAUCCGAACCUGUGUCCAGUCCGAAUUCAAGUUCGACGGAUGAUGAUUUUCGUAGAGUCAUCCCUGGCCGAAUGGUUUCUUCGAGUCCGCCGACACCUAGCCGUGGUCAGGCUGUCUUCAACCCGUUUAUGUCCAACGGUCACGGUAAAGACCGCAGCAGGGUUGAUUUUCCGAAAGUUUCACAACCCUCGAAUGCAAAAAAACCAGUCCCGAGCGAACCGAAAAAAGAGGAGCCGAGACCUUUUGUCCCCCACCCGUUACAUUUCGAUGGCUAA